rnacentral:lncRNA from 1 species
UGUACCAGGCCAUCUAAAAUAACCAAGCACACACACAAGAAAAAAGAAAGCUACAAGGAAUUGAAAGUCUUCUUCUCCAUGGAAGAAGGAAAGUGACUCCUAGGGUCACAGGAUGCAACUGGAACCCUAGGAAGUCCUCUAUAAAUAGCCAUCCUUCCCCUCCACAACCACUAUAGAAAAAAUGCUCUUUUUCUUUUACAAUUGCUUAACAACUCUAUAUA